CUACGGGUUGCACCAGUGAGGAAUAUUGCACAAUGGAGGAAACUCUGAUGCAGCAACGCCGCGUGGAGGAUGACGCAUUUCGGUGUGUAAACUCCUUUUAUAUGUCAAGAAAAUGACGGUAGCAUAUGAAUAAGCUCCGGCUAACUCCGUGCCAGCAGCCGCGGUAAUACGGAGGGAGCAAGCGUUACUCGGAAUCACUGGGCGUAAAGGACGCGUAGGCGGGAUAGAAAGUCAGGUGUGAAAUCCUAUGGCUCAACCAUAGAACUGCACUUGAAACUUCUAACCUAGAGUAUGGGAGGGGAAGGUGGAAUUAGUGGUGUAGGGGUAAAAUCCGUAGAUAUCACUAGGAAUACCUAAAGCGAAGGCGAUCUGCUGGAACAUAACUGACGCUAAGGCGUGAAAGCGUGGGGAGCAAACAGGAUUAGAUACCCGCGUAGUC
rnacentral:rRNA from 1 species